rnacentral:rRNA from 1 species
CCUACGGGAGGCAGCAGUGAGGAAUAUUGGUCAAUGGACGAGAGUCUGAACCAGCCAAGUAGCGUGAAGGAUGCCUGCCCUAUGGGUUGUAAACUUCUUUUAUAUGGGAAUAAAAUGUUCCACGUGUGGGAUUUUGUCUGUACCAUAUGAAUAAGGAUCGGCUAACUCCGUGCCAGCAGCCGCGGUAAUACGGAGGAUCCGAGCGUUAUCCGGAUUUAUUGGGUUUAAGGGGAACGUAGGUGGAUUGUUAAGUCAGUUGUGAAAGUUUGCGGCUCAACCGUAAAAUUGCAGUUGAAACUGGCAGUCUUGAGUACAGUAGAGGUGGGCGGAAUUCGUGGUGUAGCGGUGAAAUGCUUAGAUAUCACGAAGAACUCCGAUUGCGAAGGCAGUUCACUGGACUGCAACUGACACUGAGGCUCGAAAGUGUGGGUAUCAAACAGGAUUAGAUACCCCAGUAGUC